rfam:Oryza sativa Japonica Group DNA, chromosome 1, cultivar: Nipponbare, complete sequence.
AUACUUACCUGGACGGGGUUAAUGGGCGAUCAAGAAGGCUCAUGGCCUAGAUUAGUGGCCUCCAUUGCACUUAGGAGGAACGCUCGUCUACCAUCUCCCCAAGUGGGAGUGGACGUCAUAAUUUGUGGCAGAGGGGGUACGCGUUCGCGCGGCCCCUA